AUUAGCUUGUUGGUGAGGUAACGGCUCACCAAGGCGACGAUCCGUAGCUGGUCUGAGAGGAUGAUCAGCCACAUCGGGACUGAGACACGGCCCGAACUCCUACGGGAGGCAGCAGUGGGGAAUAUUGGACAAUGGGCGCAAGCCUGAUCCAGCCAUGCCGCGUGUGUGAAGAAGGCUUUCGGGUUGUAAAGCACUUUCAGUGAGGAAGAAGGCCUUGGGGCCAAUACCCCCGAGGAAGGACAUCACUCACAGAAGAAGCACCGGCUAACUCCGUGCCAGCAGCCGCGGUAAUACGGAGGGUGCGAGCGUUAAUCGGAAUUACUGGGCGUAAAGCGCGCGUAGGUGGCUUGAUAAGCCGGUUGUGAAAGCCCCGGGCUCAACCUGGGAACGGCAUCCGGAACUGUCAGGCUAGAGUGCAGGAGAGGAAGGUAGAAUUCCCGGUGUAGCGGUGAAAUGCGUAGAGAUCGGGAGGAAUACCAGUGGCGAAGGCGGCCUUCUGGACUGACACUGACACUGAGGUGCGAAAGCGUGGGUAGCAAACAGGAUUAGAUACCCUGGUAGUCCACGCCGUAAACGAUGUCGACUAGCCGUUGGGGUCCUAGAGACCUUUGUGGCGCAGUUAACGCGAUAAGUCGACCGCCUGGGGAGUACGGCCGCAAGGUUAAAACUCAAAUGAAUUGACGGGGGCCCGCACAAGCGGUGGAGCAUGUGGUUUAAUUCGAUGCAACGCGAAGAACCUUACCUACCCUUGACAUCGUGCGAACUUUCCAGAGAUGGAUUGGUGCCUUCGGGAGCGCACAGACAGGUGCUGCAUGGCUGUCGUCAGCUCGUGUUGUGAAAUGUUGGGUUAAGUCCCGUAACGAGCGCAACCCUUGUCCCUAUUUGCCAGCGAUUCGGUCGGGAACUCUAGGGAGACUGCCGGUGACAAACCGGAGGAAGGUGGGGACGACGUCAAGUCAUCAUGGCCCUUACGGGUAGGGCUACACACGUGCUACAAUGGCCGGUACAAAGGGUUGCGAAGCCGCGAGGUGGAGCUAAUCCCGAAAAGCCGGUCUCAGUCCGGAUCGGAGUCUGCAACUCGACUCCGUGAAGUCGGAAUCGCUAGUAAUCGUGAAUCAGAAUGUCACGGUGAAUACGUUCCCGGGCCUUGUACACACCGCCCGU
rnacentral:rRNA from 1 species